UGCAUCUGAACUCUUCAUUUAUAUAUAUAUAUAUAUAUUAUCCAUUAAGAAGACAGGCUCUGAGGUGCAAAUGACGUAUGAAAAAAAAGCCACUGUGGCUCCCCCUAUGGAGUGAAACCGUCAGGUUCCAGAAGUAAAAAAUCCAUAGGGAAAUUAAUUUUGAAUGAUAACUUAUGAAUAUUUUAAAGAUAAACCUACUCUAAGCUAUGAGGUAGUUAAUCCAUGUUUGUUUCUGCUGAUGCCUUCAGCCUGCAUUAUUUCAGCUUAUCUUUUACAUUAAUUGUGUUUAACAGCAGAAAGCAUUGUGGAAAAACUACAUUACCAAUGAUACUGUACAGAAAGUUACACCAAUCAGAGUCGAAAGAAACUGAACGUGCCAAGAGUUUUUAGCUCCGCCCACUCCCAUGAAGCACUUCGAAUGACAUAAUCUUGUCGAUCUCCAUACGCUCUCAAAAUACUUGUAUGUUUGUAUAUACAGACAGACAUUUUGAAAAACUUUAAAGAUGUUGUUUUUUUAUGUAUAAUCAACAUUUGUAAAUGUGUAGUUUUAUUUUUCUAAUUCGAUUAUGCCGUUCGCAAUGCUUCAUGGGAUUUGUUUCCCUCAAAUUCAUUAGGAUAUUACUGCAAUACUAUAUGAAGUGAACUGCUUGGAAAAAAGAGUAAUGUUAUGCUCCUAGGUGGACUGGGCUCGGGGUGCAACAAUGUAAGAUUUAUUAAAGCAUAAAAUAGAAAACAUUUAGGAGGCAAACCUCACAAUGUAACUGUAUAUAAAUAUUUCAAUAAACUAACUUGAGCCAUUAAAUGAAACUAACACCACUUUUAAGUCCCAGCAGUGAAAUUUUUGAUUUAUGUUCAAAUUUGUCUUUUGAUAUUUCAUAAAUAUAUUCACAGUGCAAUUACACACCUUGAAAAAAAAUGAAUUACUGAUAAAUGUGAUUAAAUAUAAUAUUAUGAAGCAUUUAUAGCUCAAAACACCGUUUUUGUUAAUGUCCCACACCCGUGGUCUCAUCAUCUAAACAUCAUCUUUUCUGCUCUAUUGUGUGUCCUUACCAUUCAGCUUAAUAAUUGUGAAUUUUGAACUACAUUUUAAAAAUAAUUGCAUAAUACUGUUGAAUUCAUGUAUAUUAAGAUGCUAAGAGACAAAACUUAUGUGCAAAAAUGGGAUUUCACCAACAUGUCUUUACCGCAGUAGAUUUAGGUGUUGCGGUAAAGACCUUGUGUUGCGGUAGAAACAAAUUCAAGGUUUACUGUAUAUUAAUUCAGUAUAUUAUUAGUACUGAAGUAUAUAUUAAUAUGUAAACAUGCCAUUUUUUGUCGUGGCAGUUUAACAUUGUGUCCUUUUUCGACACAAGAUGUCAUUACCGCAGCACUGCUCUAUUUUCAUUUUCAUUUGCAAAAAAAUGUUUUUACACUUAAGAUGAGUUGAAAUUGCAACAUCUGUCAUAAAAAGUUAAAUAUGUUAUCUUUUGUUAUCAUAUUUUAUGGAAACAUUUGACAUUUAAGGUUACUGUAAAUUUUACAUGUACAUGAUGGCACAGAAAAAAAAUAUAAAAUUCCCUAUUUUGUAUAUUAUUUUUUUAAAUCAGUAUUUACAAAACCGCAUCAAAUUUGGAAAAAGCUAUUUAAAUAUAUUACCUUUUUUAGUAGAAAUUGCUUAAGAAAAAUGUAUAAAACGUUAUUGUAACGUUGCAAACAUGUUCUAGAUUAAAAUCUUAACAACUGGAUUAUAUUUUGUGUACAUUUUAAAUGUAUUACAGAUGUGGUGGUUAAAAUUUAAAUUCAUAGACUAGAAUUUUUUAAUUGGGUUACUCGAAAGUACCCGUAGUUGCAGAAACACCACUGUUGACAGAACAGCUUUGCUUUAUAUUUUUACUAAAUGUCAAGAGUAUUUAUGUAGCUAGAGAUUACUUUGGUGCUAUAUAAUAAUAAUGACCUGAUUUUUUUUUUUCCAUUAAAAUAUUCCACUUUUUUAUCUUCAACAUAACUCACUGUACUGUAUAAAAAUGUAAUAAAUACACAACCGUUCAAAAGUUUGGGUACAGUACAAUUUUUUUAUGUUUUUAAGACUCUUAUUCUCACCAAGGCUGCAUUUAUUUGAUAAAAAUACAGAAAAAUAUAUAUUUUGGGGGAAUAUUAAUACAGUUUAUAAUAGCUGUUUUCUAAUUUAAUCAUAUAUUUUAAAAAUGUAAUUUAUUCCUGUGAUCAAAGCUGUAUUUUCAGCAUCAUUACUGCAGUCUUCUAUAUGAUGAUUAUAAUAUGAUAAUUUGACGCUCGAGAAACAUUUCUGAUUAUCAUCAGUUGAAAACGGGUUAAUAUUUUGUGCAAACUGCAUCUUUGAUGAAUGGAAAGUUGAAAAGAACAGCAUUUAUUUAAAAUAAAAACCAUGUGUGACGAUG